AGUGGCGGACGGGUGAGUAACGCGUAAGAAUCUAACUUCAGGACGGGGACAACAGUGGGAAACGACUGCUAAUACCCGAUGUGCCGCGAGGUGAAACCUAAUUGGCCUGAAGAAGAGCUUGCGUCUGAUUAGCUAGUUGGUGGGGUAAGAGCCUACCAAGGCGACGAUCAGUAGCUGGUCUGAGAGGAUGAGCAGCCACACUGGGACUGAGACACGGCCCAGACUCCUACGGGAGGCAGCAGUGGGGAAUUUUCCGCAAUGGGCGAAAGCCUGACGGAGCAACGCCGCGUGAGGGAGGAAGGUCUUUGGAUUGUAAACCUCUUUUCUCAAGGAAGAAGUUCUGACGGUACUUGAGGAAUCAGCCUCGGCUAACUCCGUGCCAGCAGCCGCGGUAAUACGGGGGAGGCAAGCGUUAUCCGGAAUUAUUGGGCGUAAAGCGUCCGCAGGUGGUCAGCCAAGUCUGCCGUCAAAUCAGGUUGCUUAACGACGUAAAGGCGGUGGAAACUGGCAGACUAGAGAGCAGUAGGGGUAGCAGGAAUUCCCAGUGUAGCGGUGAAAUGCGUAGAGAUUGGGAAGAACAUCGGUGGCGAAAGCGUGCUACUGGGCUGUAUCUGACGCUCAGGGACGAAAGCUAGGGGAGCGAAAGGGAUUAGAUACCCCUGUAGUCCUAGCCGUAAACGAUGGAUACUAGGCGUGGCUU
rnacentral:rRNA from 1 species